rnacentral:lncRNA from 1 species
CUUCAACAGAGUGGCACAACAUGGAUCUACCAAAAGGCGAGGUUCUAGUUUUGAAUUUUCAAGCAAAGAACUAUGCCUUACCCAAGUUCAUGAAGAAAAUGUGCAAGUUGAAGGUUCUAAUAGUCACAAAUGAUGGCUUCUCACCUGCUGAGCUAAGUGACUUUGAACUGCUGUGUUCUUUGUCAAAUCUAAAGAGACUAAGAUUAGAGCAUAUUUCAAUUCCUUUGAUACGCGAGAACAUCAUUCCAUCGAAGAGUCUAAAGAAGAUAUCUUUAUUCAUGUGUAACGUCAGUCAAGCAUUUGGAAACUCUUCCAUCCAAAUUUUUGAGACAUUCCCAUACCUAGAGGAGUUGCACAUCGACUAUUGUAACGAUUUGGUGAAAUUGCCUGCCAAGCUAUGCGAUCUUAUCGGCCUAAAAGUUCUCAGCAUCACCAACUCUCAUAAGCUAUCUGUCUUGCCUGAAGACAUCGGAAAGCUGGAGAAUUUAGAAGUGUUGAGGCUAAGGUCCUGCACAGGCUUGGAAAAGCUUCCAGGCUCGAUUGAGAAACUCAAUAACUUGUACUUUCUUGACAUAUCUAAUUGUUCCAGCAUUAAGACGUUGCCCGAAGGCAUUGAUAAGAUGAAUGGUUUAAGAAAAAUCAAUAUGGCACAAUGUUCAAGAUUGGAUGAGCUGCCUGAGUCAGUGUAUGAUCUUGGUCCGCAGUUAGAGAAAGUGAUAUGUGACGAGGACGCAAGAAUUUUUUGGGAACCUGUCUUAUCAAAUCCCAACAAAAUAACGGUGGCAUUCAACCUGAAUUGGCUCCACAGACUUCAGAUUUGAGAGCUAUCUUUCCACGAUAAGUAUUGGAGCAAAUGGCCUGUGUACUUUGUAUUCCAGUUUAUUUUUUCCUAUUUCUCAUUUGGUGUUUGUAUGAGAUAUUGCAUCAUUCCACUGGCUUGGAUUUCCCUCGUUUUCUUCUCUAUAUACUGAUUAAGAUUUGUUGAAUUUUUGAUUUUUUAUUUUCUUCCUCCCAGGACAGACAGUAAAAACCCUCUAAUGCCUACCUUUUUUCAUCACUUCCCUCUCAUCCCCUCCAUGCUUCUCACAUCUCUUAACCAUCUAUCCACUGGCUAAUGGGUGUGGUCUCUCUAUCGCUUUGUCGACUAGAGCCUUUGUAUUUGUGGUCACUCUACCGAUGUAGCAGAUAUGGCUUACUACUCGAGUACUCAUCUUCAACAUCUUAUGCUUCCAGGAAAGAUACCGUAUCUGCCUGAGGAACAGAUAGGGCAAGUGAGAAGGAUACAAGGAAGCAUGUGGAGACAAGCGUAACAGCACACGUGCCGAUACAUCCACUACUCUGUCAAAAGCAAAAGUAUUCCAUAUCAGCAGGGUCGAACGUACUCUAGAUUUGAUGGACUUGUUUUGACCCUCAAAUUCUUCAGUCGGCCUUAUACUCUGGAGGAAACCAGAAAACCCUCCAGUCCAGUUCAAGAAUAAGCCUGUGGAAAGUUACUUCUUCAAAAGCAAAAGUAUCCCAUAUCAUCUAUUCUCAUUUUUCUUCUCUUUAUUCUUCAUGCUGCCUGCAAGAUAGGGAGAAUGUGAACAAUCAGCCGAAGCUCUGAUUGCUUACCUUGUCUGUCACCUCUUUCAGUAGAUCCUCUAGCUCGGCGACUUGGGGGACUCCUACUACAUGAUUUGUAUCGCACUUGACCAAGCAUGAAACUACAAGUAAGCUUCAAGUGAAAUUGAUACAUUACCUUGUGCAUCUCCACCAGUUACAGAUACCAUCCCUGGAUGGAGGAAUAGUACUUCCAGAGAAGAUGCCACAUCUACCUAUGAGACAGAUAAGGCAAGUCAAGACGAUACCACACUCCGGUACUUAGAAGUUUCGUGGCUACAAGAUCAUUCUCCCACAAUAUUUCCUAAUGUCAUUUGUACUAAAUCAUUCACUUGUCCUCACUAAAGGAGAGCUUGAACCUAUGUACUUGUGUAAACCCUUCACAAUUAAUGAGAACUCCUCUAUUCCGUGGACGUAGCCAAUCUGGGUGAACCACGUACAUCUUGUGUUUGCUUUCCUAUCUCUAUCCAUUUAUAUACUUAUCCACACUAAUGACCGGAGCAAUCUAGCGAAGAUCACAAAAAGUGACCGUUUUCGCUACCUAGGAUCUAUCUUGCAAGAGAACGGAGAAUUAGAUGGAGAUCUCAACCAUAGAAUACAAGCUGGAUGGAUGAAGUGUAAGAGUGCAUCCGGCGUGUUGUGUGACCGUCGUAGGCCACUGAAGCUCAAGGGAAAAUUUUAUAGGACGGCAAUAAGGCCAGCGAUGUUGUAUGGCACAGAAUGUUGGGCGGUGGAGCAUCAACACGUACACAAAAUGGGUGUAGCGGAGAUGAGGAUGCUUCGUGGGAUGUAUGGGCACACGAGAAAGGAUAAGAUUGGGAAUGAGGAUAUCCGAGGUAAAGUAGGAGUAGCCAAAAUUGAAUGAAAUAUGAGAGAAAAUCGGUUCCGGUGGUUUGGACAUGGCAAAGAAGGCCUACUGACGCUUCAGUUCGAAAAUGUGACUACGGAACAGAGGUUCAGGGCCAAAGGGGUAGAUGAAGACCUAGGAAAACUUUGGAAGAGACCCUAAGAAAAGACUUGAGUACUUGGAUCUAACGGAGGACAUGACACAAAACCGAGCGCAAUGGCGUUCUAGGAUUCAUAUAACCGACCCCACUUAGUGGGAAAAGACUUUGUUGUUGUUGUAUUUAUUUAUUUAUUUGCAUAUUAUUUUGGUUUGUUGAAAUUUCAACUAUAGUUUGCUUUGUGCUGGACGUAAAGGGUUUUUCUUCAAUGAUUAUAUAUAGCUUCAACAGUGGACUCUGUGUUGUCUCUAGGUGAUUUUUGCUUAUUUCUCCAUUUGUUACGGAUGAGUGGAUGCCUAUGAUUAAGUGAAAGUGAAAUCUAAGAGGUUUUUUUGUUGUUAUUGUUGGGAAUUUGCCUAAUUUUAGGAAUGGGAAGUGAUUCUGGUGAACAGAGCUCUAGAGUUUAGGUUUGUGCUCAUCUCUCACUCUUCCUCUCUCCUUCUCUACUGGAAAAUCCAUAGUCUUUCAUCUUCCUCGGCUCUUCCUUUCUCUCCGCUCCCCAUAUCUCUCUCCUUGGAGCCUACAAACCAAGUAGUGAUGGUCGACAAGCUUCAAACAUGCUGGACGCAUACUGGAGAAGGGACAGUUCUGUCCGUUGCAGAGAGAGACGGGGGAGUAUGGGGGUAGGGGAGAGGAUUUUCGGCAGGGAGAUAUGGGUUUAGGGAGAAAGAGUAAGGGAGAAGUAUGGGGUAGGCUGAUUUCCAGGGAUUUCCUUUCACCCCUUCACUCACCACGAACCCACCUUUCUCUUCGUUUCUCCCACACUCAAAUCUUCCGUUUUCCCUCUCACAAAAUACCCACCAAGGAAACCCUGCUUUUGGUUUAUUUUGGGAUUUUGUUUGCGCUCUCAAUUUUCAGACGAUGGGCCAAUUGGUUGAGAUUUGGAUUUCUCCCCUUUUUGUCGAAGCUCACAAAUUGUGUUUCGGUGGGAUCGGUCUUGAAUAGCUGCGUGUGUCUACUCUUUCCAAGGUAUGGUGUUCACCGAUGGCAUGGUUUAGUGUGUUUCUCUUUUUUUUUUCUUUGUUUUAUAUUUCUAAUUUAUCGUUUGCUGCUUGACAAUGGUGAUUGUAUGUUUUAGUUUGGAUGUUUUUCUGAUUUUGGGUUGGUCAGUGUUUUUCGGCUGCUUGAGAAAAUGUGAUCCCAUGUUUUGAUUGAGUGAAAUAAUUAAGAGAUAGAAAAGAGUGGAGAAUUAGUGUCAAGAGUAGUGAUGGAAAAAAUGAGGAAAAAAAGAUAGACGUGGAAGAAAGGGAGAGACUGGAAAUUGAGGAAAGUGAAGAGAAAAAAAAAUGGGGGUUAAGUGAGCAGCCAAAAGAGAAAAAAUGAGGAAAAAAAGGCUUAAUAUGGGGAGUAGGCAGAAGAGAAAAGCAAGAGAAGGGAGACAGAACAGGAACAAGGUGUGGUUUUGUUGUUGGUUUUAUCCAAACUUUUGAUUUGGAAUUUGAUUUGAAGCUUAUUUGUUAUUUGUUUAGUCUAAUUUAGUAUUGGUUUAUCUAGGUUUGUAGCUAAUUUAAUGGGUUUCGUUUUUUAAUUGUUAUUUUACAGUUGCUAGGGUUAACUUUGGCUUUUAUAUUGGUUUGGGUAAUUUUUUUAAUUUCAUUUGACGAUUUAGUGUCAUUAUAAUUAUACACCUUUGCACCACUGUUUGUUUUGUUUUUCUCGGUUUCUGUAUAUAGUUUUGGUAGAAUUGGACUGUUCUUUUUAAUUUAAUUAAAGUGUUUGACACUUAAUUGAAUGAAAGUUUAGUUUGGUUUGAUCACAAUGAGGUGUUUGGUGACACCUUUGCACCACUGUUUGUUCUGUUUUUCUUGGUUUCUGUAAAUAGUUUUGGUAGAAUUUGACUGUUCUUUUUAACUUAAUUAAAGUGUUUGAGACUUAAUUGAAUGACAGUUUAGUUUGGUUUGAUCACGAUGAGGUGUUUGGUGUUGGGUGUAUGAUCCUUAGGUCCAAUGGAAAUGUGUAAUUCCCAUUAAGGUUUCAUCUUGCUGUAAAUUUAGGUGUUUUCUCUCUGUGUUGGUCCAUCUGCUUAUACUUUUCAAAUGUUGGUUCAUCUUAUGCAAAUAUUGAUAUGCUUAAUUACCCUGCUUCUUUCUCAUGGUCCUUAAACAUGUGCAAGUUUGUAUGUUUAUGAUGGAUUAUACUAUUGGGAACUUAGUUACUUUUUUUUUUCAUGUUUGUUGGGUUUGUUGUUUUCAGAAAAUUAUUAAAAUUCUGUAAUUUGUUUCUGUAUAUAGAGUGCUAAAUGAGAAUAUGAUUAAUGGGUUGAAUUUUGUUUUCAAGAGGACUGUUACAUGUUUUGUGUCAAUUUGGCUGUGAUAGUAAGAUUACUUCAUGGAACAGUGUAAUUGUUGUGGCAUGUGAAUGUCGAAUUUGUUCUUAAUUUAAUUUCGGAAAGAAAUUUGCUCAACUGUAGUGCUAUAUGAUGAAGUUAUCAUCCUUAGAGGUUGGGAACUCAAUUAGUGUACCAUUAGUUGUGCAAAUGUUUGAAUAUUGGAGAGCACACAACUUGAGGAUCUCAGACCCAAGGUAAAAGGUAAAAGGUUAAAAUCUCUGGCUUCCUUUACUGAUGUAAGCUUGCAUGAAAGAGAGAAACAAUAACAAAAAAAUUAUCUGAACCCCCAUUUGGUUCUGUUUGAUUGUCUAUGUAGGGUGUUUUUUAGUUUUGCUUGGGGGGUUCAGAUUUCAUUUGGGUUUAUAUGUGAUUUUUAGUCGAUUAUUUUUUUAUUAGUUUCAGAUCAUUUUUACUUUGGAAGUUUGAAUUUUUGUGGUUGUUUCAGUGUAGUUCUUGGGUACACACAUUUAUCCAAUAAAUAAAUUCAUGACAUUGUUUUCAGGGGAGUUACAGAAGUCCCAGGCAGCAAUCUCUUUGUAAUCAUCGCCGGGAAAAUAUCGUGGUCAUUUUGAGUUUGGAUUUAGCCAGCACGUGGUAAGCAUUACUUUUUCGAUUCCUUUCAUUUGUUUAUUUGUGAAUCAAUAACUUUUUUAGGAAUAAUGAAUGUCACAAUUGCUGAUAAAUUGAUACUUUGUUCGGAGCUUGAACUGUAGGUCUGUGCAAGAUAUCCAUAUAUGGAUCAAUGCUAUGGACUCUUCUCAACCUAUGGACCUCAAAUUUCAGUGCGUCUUCCAUCAUUUCUCCUACCUCACUGUAUGUAGCUAUUACAUUUGCAAUCAUAUUAAUUCAUUGAAAACAAUAUUUAUAUUUCUCUGUAAAAUAUACUAUCAUUUCCUUGCUGGUACAUUAAAAUGGAAAUAUGAAAAGUAGAACCGAUCAUCGCUGGGUUCUCUCUUUCGACUGUGUUGUUUGCUUUACCUAUCGUUUUUACUUUUCUGUUUCACAGCUCUCUGACAAAUAUCUUAUUCUGCCGCUCUUGAUCUCACCCGGGGGUGUUGCAGGUCGAUUCGAUGCUACGAGGCACUUCAUUUAGGGCUAUAUGAGAGAGAGACGUGUUGGGUGUUUGAGACAAGGGGUUUCAGGGAUUAGGUUUGGGUGGGGUUUCAAGGAUUAGGUUUUGGUGGGAUUUGAAUGAUUAGGUUUGGGUUUUUGUUUGUGCGAUUGGCAGAGAGAUGGGGGGUCCAAGAUAGGAUUAGGAGAUUUGAUUUAGGGUUUGCAGAGUCAAGAGAUAGGAGGUGUCCAAGAGAGAUGUGGGAGGAUUUAGGUGAGGGAUUUCAGGGAUUUGGUUUAGGGUUUGUUUUCUGCGAUUUGCAGAAACAGAGAGAUGGGACAAGGGUGAGAGAGAUGGGAGGAUUUUCUGCAAGGGUUGAAGGGAACGGGCAAGGGAGAUAUGGGUAUAUGGGUUUGUUGUGAUGGGGUUUAGUAAUUUUCAAUAUUCUUUGACUCUUUUUAAUCUGUAAAAUCAAUUUACCCAUGGAAUUUAUAACAUGCAAUCAGUUUCUUUUUAGUUGAGUUCAAAUAAUGUUGAUUGCAUUGUAAUAAAGCUUUGUUUUAUAUUAGGUUGAAAAUCAUAUCAAUAGAUUCUUUAUUUAGUUGGUCUAAUCUGUAACAGAUGAGAUUGUUUUGUUUGAUGUUUAAAUCAAAAUUUGAUCUUUAUUUGUGUGAAAUUAUAAUGGAAUUGCAAAUCAAUUAUAUCUUAGAUUCUUAGUUACAUACUCACCUUCCCACAACUAUUAUAUUGUCUCUUGAUUGGAUAGAUUUUUAUAAUUUUCUGGAUCUACGGUUACAAUGUUUUUUAUAAUUUCCUAGAUCUAUUCUUUUUGUUCGUUCAUGAUUAUGUUGAAAUUUUUUUUUCAGGUUAAAUGUGUCUUAUUCAUGUAGUUAAGGCUGGUUCAUUCAAGUUCCGCAUCAACGUGCGAUCAUAUUUUCAAGUUUACUUCUAUUUAUGGUUUGUGUUUGUAAUAACAUCGCAGCACUGUAGAAUUAUUGUAACUAUUCACACUGGGUAGUGACUUUUGCACCCCCUGUUCUCUUCUGCACUCCUCACUGUUCAACUCUUCAUUGAUUCUCGUCUUUGAUAUAUCCAUCGAACGGCUAGAGAAACAGAGAUAAGUGCAUGGAAAGAAAAUAAGAGUUUGAAAAUCAUUAUUUUUUACGUAGAGAAAAAAGUGUAUUAAUUUAUGUAUUAUGUGGGAUUUCUGAGCCUUUUUAUUGUUUUGUGGGUGAUUUUUCCGCAAUGCAAGUUUCCUGGAAUGCAAAUCAUUUGGCUUUAGUUGCUGUUUGUUUCCAUCUUUUUCUUUGGAUUUGGAUUCUCUUCUGAGCUAAUGGAGAGGAUCCUCCUCAUCAAACAUUGUGGACCAUUGGAUUUUCAUCCAACGGUUAUAAUUAUUAUAACUUUAAAGGGACCAUUCUGUUUGUAGUCGUUCGAUAAAAAUCUAAAGGUUCAAAAUGUUUGGUCAGGAGGAUCCCCUCCAUUAGCUCAGGAGAGGAUCCAAAUCCUUUUUCUUUGAUGCUUUCGCUUGUUUACGUCGGCAUUAUGACGUAAUAAAUUGGUCAAUGUGGCCCUACUAUGUUGUUUCAAUGGGCUUUCCAAAUUAUGCACCAACCAAGUUGCAAAUAAAAUAUUCUGGGAUUUCUGAGCCUUUCUAUUGUUGUGGGUGAUUUUCCGCAAUGCGAGUUUCCUGGAAAUUGCAAAUCAUUUGGCCUUAGUUGCUGUUUGUUUCCUUCUCUGUCUUUGAUGCUUUUGCUUGUUUACGUCGGCAAUAUGAUGUAAUAAAUUCGUCAAUGUGGCCCUACUUGGUUGUUUCUAUGGUACCGGAUUUCCUCUGGAUCCAAAAAAUUUGAGCCUAUUGAUUAAAUGAUCCGAUCAUUGAAAUUUGAUCUAAUGAUUAGAAUUAUUAGAAUUUUUAAAAGAGUUCUUUAUUUGUAGCCGUUGGAUCAAAUUUCAAUGGUCUAGAUCAUUUGACCCUUAUCCACAAACUUUUUAGAUCCGGAGGGGAUACGGUCCGUUUCUAUGGGCUUUCCAAAUUAUGCACCAACCAAGUUUUGUAAAUAAAAUAUUCUUCUCUCAUUGACUAUGAAUAUAUAUAUAUAUACAUAUGCACCAACCAAGUUUUGCAAAUAAAAUAUUCUUUUCUCAUUGACUAUAAACUGUUUUGUCGGUGAUUUUUCCGUAAUACGAGUUUCCUGGAAAUUGCAAAUCAUUUGGCUUUAGUUGUUGUUUGUUUCCUUCUUUUUCUUGGAUGCUUUUACUUGCUUACGUCAGCAAUAUGAUGUAAACAAGUUUUGCAAAUAAAAUAUUCUUCUCUCAUUGACUAUGAAUAUACAUAUAUAUAUAUAUAUAUAUAUAUAUAUAUGUAUGUAUGUAUUAUUGCUUAUCAAACUUGGAGUUUCAGAUCGAUUUGGCGAGCAAGAGCGCCGCGACCCACCGCAUCUCCUCUGUAUUGAAUUUCUUUCUUCCAAACUCCUAUCUUUAGAUGGGCUCUUCGAUUAGUCAUCAAGCUCUUCCAUUUGUUCUCAAUUCUUUCUGUCGCCGAGAGAGGAACUGAGUUGAGAGGAAGUCUGAGUUUCCUCUCAACUCAGUUCCUCGCCCAACGCCCGCCUAAGCCGCCCAGGCGCCCACUGCUUCUUGGCUUCCAAACUUAUCUUAACACUUGAGAGGUGUCUCUCCCUAUUCAGCCGAGCUCAAAUCCCUCUCUCUCCUCUGUUUAGAUUAGUUUAAAAGAAAGCAGCCUCUCCCUCGUUUCAAAUGCAUUUAUAAUUCUGUGAUCCAAAGCAAUUGCUCUCUUGUUUUAGAAUUCAGAUUUUCAGAGCUGGGUGGUGGUUGUUGUUGUUGUAAUUAUGGCAGUCCUUGCGUCAGCUGUAGCAGCUAUUGUAAAAAUACCAUUUGAAUGGCUGUUUGGUGCCGCCAUAAGAUUCUACAAGAUGGCUAAGAAGUUUCCAACUCUCCGCAGAGAUCUCACUUCAAAUCUAGACUACUUGGAACAACGGAUCGCACUGAUAAGCCGCACCAGAAUCAUUUGGGUUUCUGAAAAUUUAACAAGAACAAUGGAGGAUGGCAAGGAGCUGGCCAGAAGGUGCGACGAGGGGAAUCUGAACUUCUUUGAAAAGGCUAAAUAUGCUAAAAAAAUUGUUAAAUGGGACGAAUCUCGUCAAAGAAUCUUGAAGUUAGUGCAAACUGAUGCAAAUCUUGUGGCUCAAAAUCAAAACCAAGACCUUGUUACAACUUGGUGCGCAGUUCCCGACCUUCCAAGCAAUACACUAAAACUGGAUGCGCCUUUGGCGGAGAUGAAGAUGAAACUCCUUAGAGAUGACGCGCUGUCAAUGCUUGUGCUCACUGCUCCGGGAGGAUGUGGGAAAACCACUUUGGCAAAUAUGUUCUGUCAUGAUCCACAAGUCAAAGGUAUCUAUCUAUAAAGUUUUUGUACGAUGCGACAAACUUUUUUUAGAUGCGCACACUCGAUACUGUAGAAUGGCUCCUACCUGUCUGCUAAUGAUAAUCACUUCUUUUCUCUCUUUUUUCUUCUAAUUAGUAAUGUUGCAUUCCCAUGUGUUUUCUUGGUUAGAUAAAUUCAAGGACAAUAUCUUCUUUGCCACGGUUUCCAAUAAGCCCAGCCACCUUGUUGUCCAAGAAUUGUGUCAACAUGCCCGAUUCAGGUACCUGCUUUAGAAAAUGAAGAAAUUGCAUUUAUCUGGCUGCCGCAAUUUUUGAGGGAAGCAGGGCAAAAUCCCUUACUGUUAAUCUUGGAUGAUGUUCCGUCUGCAUCAGAAUCCCUUCUUGACAAGUUUGAUGAAAUCAAAAUUCCAGAUUACAAGAUUUUGGUGACAUCAAGAUAUCAUUUUCCGAAAUUCGGGCCUCCAUAUAAUUUACAAGCAUUGACAGAUAAAGAUGCACUGACUCUUUUUCGUCGUUCAGCAUUUCUGCCAAAUACGAUCUGUAACAUACCAGAUGAUCUUCAGAUUCAGGUGAUAUAUUAGUUUGAGUUUCUAAUGUAUAUGCCCUUAUUUAUGCAUUCCUGCUUAUAGAAAAUGUCACUUACUACACAAAUCACCCAUGCACGCAAAUGAACCCGUUGAUUUUACUAUAUCUGUAAAUAGUUAUUCACCUUAUUUGGGACAAUUGGACUGCAGAUACUAAACCACUGUAAGAGAUUUCCGCUUGCCAUUACAACCAUAGGGACGUCACUUCGCAAUCAGCCUGUAGAGAAAUGGACAAGCAAACUCACAGAAUUAUCUAAAGGUUCUUCUAUUUUUGAUUCAGAGAAAAUUUUGCUUGCGCUCCUCAAAAGUUGCUUAGAUGACUUGAAUAAAGAAAUGGCUCCUGUCAAGGAUUGUUUCAUAGACCUUGCUUUAUUUCCCCAAGACCAAAGAAUUCCCGUUGCUUUCCUUCUUGAUAUGUGGGCAGAGUUAUAUGAGGGAUCAAAUGAUGACGAUUCAAUAGUGAACCUAUACCACCUCACCUUCCGCAAUUUGGCCAGUCUUGUAGUCACAAGGUAUUCAAACUUUACUUUUUUUACCAAUUUACUACUGUGAUAUGCACGUUUCAGAAAUUUCUUCUGUGAAACUAAAUUUUGAUCACAACCAGGACUAAGGAUUUGGAUGGAUACUAUGGUGAACAUUUUGUUAUCCAACAUGAUAUGCUUAAAUUGCUAUCAAUCCGUGCGAGUCAUGAUGAAGACCCAACAGGACAUAGACUGAUUGUAGACAUACGUGGAGAUGAGCUUCCACCAUGGUGGACAGAGAAGAAAACAAUGAAGGGUCGCUUAGUAUCUGUCUUAACACCAUGGUGGACAGAGAAGAAGCAGAAAACAAAGAAGGCUCGCUUAGUAUCUGUCAUAACUGGUUGGCAUCUCUGAACUCUUUCUUUAGAAAAUAGAUACAUACAUAUGUACGAUCACGUACAUACAAGCUCACAAACGUAAUUUCACAUUAAUAUCUCCCCAGAGUCACAUCAUAUAGCACAUUGUUUAUUUGCAGGUGAAUCUUCUUCAACAGAGUGGCACAACAUGGAUCUACCAAAAGGCGAGGUUCUAGUUUUGAAUUUUCAAGCAAAGAACUAUGCCUUACCCAAGUUCAUGAAGAAAAUGUGCAAGCUGAAGGUUCUAAUAGUCACAAAUGAUGGCUUCUCACCUGCUGAGCUAAGCGACUUUGAACUGCUGUGUUCUUUGUCAAAUCUAAAGAGACUAAGAUUAGAGCAUAUUUCGAUUCCUUUGAUACGCGAGAACAUCAUUCAAUCGAAGAGUCUAAAGAAGAUAUCUUUAUUCAUGUGUAACGUCAGUCAAG